rnacentral:rRNA from 1 species
GACGAACGCUGGCGGCGUGCUUAACACAUGCAAGUCGAACGAAGAGCGAUGGAAGCUUGCUUCUAUCAAUCUUAGUGGCGAACGGGUGAGUAACGCGUAAUCAACCUGCCCUUCAGAGGGGGACAACAGUUGGAAACGACUGCUAAUACCGCAUACGAUCUAAUCUCGGCAUCGAGGAUAGAUGAAAGGUGGCCUCUACAUGUAAGCUAUCACUGAAGGAGGGGAUUGGGUCUGAUUAGCUAGUUGGAGGGGUAACGGCCCACCAAGGCGAUGAUCAGUAGCCGGUCUGAGAGGAUGAACGGCCACAUUGGGACUGAGACACGGCCCAGACUCCUACGGGAGGCAGCAGUGGGGAAUCUUCCGCAAUGGACGAAAGUCUGACGGAGCAACGCCGCGUGAGCGAUGACGGCCUUCGGGUUGUAAAGCUCUGUUAAUCGGGACGAAAGGCCUUCUUGCGAAUAGUGAGAAGGAUUGACGGUACCGGAAUAGAAAGCCACGGCUAACUACGUG